rnacentral:rRNA from 1 species
CUACGGGUCGCACCAGUGGGGAAUCUUAGACAAUGGGGGAAACCCUGAUCUAGCCAUGCCGCGUGAGCGACGACGGCCCUAGGGUUGUAAAGCUCUUUCAGCAGGGAAGAUAAUGACGGUACCUGCAGAAGAAGUCCCGGCUAACUCCGUGCCAGCAGCCGCGGUAAUACGGAGGGGACUAGCGUUGUUCGGAAUUACUGGGCGUAAAGCGCGCGUAGGCGGAUUGUUAAGUCGGGGGUGAAAUCCCGGGGCUCAACCCCGGAACUGCCCUCGAUACUGGCAGUCUCGAGUUCGGGAGAGGUGAGUGGAAUUCCGAGUGUAGAGGUGAAAUUCGUAGAUAUUCGGAGGAACACCAGUGGCGAAGGCGGCUCACUGGCUCGAUACUGACGCUGAGGUGCGAAAGCGUGGGGAGCAAACAGGAUUAGAUACCCUCGUAGUC